UUCUUUUUUCCAUCAAAGUUGAAAAAUAUGUGAAAAUUAGUACUUCGGUAAAACAGAGACCAGCUUUGGAACACCCAAACGUACGGAAAGAGGACAGAGAGACGAAACCCAAUCUGCUAGAGAAGAACAAGAAGAAGAUCGAAACGAAUACGAAGCAGAAGGUAAAAAAGCCCAUUAUUAUUUAUUAUUGACACUGGAGAGGAAUUCGUUGCAAUAAAUGAGGAUUUCGGUCACCCGAAGUUGAAAACUGA